ACAAACUUGGUCAUUUAGAGGAAGUAAAAGUCGUAACAAGGUCUCCGUAGGUGAACCUGCGGAGGGAUCAUUAACGAGUUAGGGUCCUCGCGGCCCGACCUCCCAACCCUUUGUGUACCUAACCUUUGUUGCUUCGGCGGGCCCUGUCGUCCCCACGCGGACGGCCGCCGGGGGUCACCCUUGCGGUCCCCUGGCCCGCGCUCGCCGAUGGCCAAACACUCCAAAUUAUUGUCUAAACGUGUCAAUUUCUGAGCGAAUUUUGAAAAUACAAGCAAAACUUUCAACAACGGAUCUCUUGGUUCUGGCAUCGAUGAAGAACGCAGC
rnacentral:misc_RNA from 1 species